ACUGGGAAAGGGAAUAACAAUUAAAAUGUAAAUAAAUACUCAAGUUAAUAAAGGAAAAAAAAAGCAGUAAAUAAUAAAAAAAGGGCCAUUUUACCAAAAGCAAUCUACAGAUUCAAUGCAAUCCCCAUCCAAAUACCAAUCCAAUUCUUCAGAGAGUUAGACAGAACAAUUUGCAAAUUCAUCUGGAAUAACAAAAAAUCUAGGAUAGCGAAAACUAUCCUCUACAAUAAAAGGCCUUCUGAGGGAAUCACUAUCCUUGAACUCAAGCAGUAUUACAGAGCUAUAGUGAUAAAAACUGUAUGGUAUUGGUACAGGGACAGGCAGAUAGACCAGUGGAAUAGAAUUGAAGACCCAGAAAUUAACCCACACACCUAUGGUCAUUUGAUUUUUGACUAAGGAGCCAAAACCAUCCAAUGGAAAAAAUAUCAUGUUCAGCAAAUGGUGCUGGUUCAACUGAAGGUCAAUAUAUAGAAGAAUGCAGAUCGAUCCAUUCUUAUCACCCUGUACAAAGUUUAAGUCCAAGUGCAUCAAGGACCUCCACAUCAAACCAGAUAAACUCGAACUAAUAGAAGAAAAAGUGUAGAAGAGUCUUGAACACAUGGGCACUGGAGAAAAUUUCCUAAACAAAACACCAAUGGUUUAUGCUCUAAAUCAAGAAUCGACAAAUGGGAUCUCAUAAACUACAAGGGUUCUGUAAAGCAAAGGACACUGUUUUUAGGAGAAAAUGACAACCAACAGAUUGGGAAAAGAUCUUUACCAAUCCUACAACAGAUAGAGGCCUUAUAUCCAAAAUAUACGAAGAACUCACGAAGUUAGACGGCAGGGGGCAAAUAACCCUAUUAAAAAAGGGGUACAGAGCUAAACAAAGAAUUCACAGCUGAAGAAUGACAUAUGGCUGAGAAACAUCUAAAGAAGUGUUCAACAUCUUUAGUCAUAAGGGAAAUGCAGAUCAAAACAACCCUGAGAUUUCACCUCACACCAGUGAGAUGAAUGGCUAAAAUCAAAAACUCCGACGACAGCAGAUGCUGGUGAGGAUGUGGAGAAAGAGGAACACUCCUCCAUUGUUGGUGGGGUUGCAGACUAGUACAAUCAUUCUGGAACUCAGUCUGGACGUUCCUCAGAAAAUUGGACAUUGCACUACCUGAGGACCCAGAUAUACCUCUCUUGGGCAUAUACCCAAAAGAUGCUUCAACAUAUAACAAAGACACGUGCUCCACUAUGUUCAUAGCAGCCUUAUUUAUAAUAGCCAGAAGCUGGAAAGAACCCAGAUGCCCUUCAACAGAGGAAUGGAUACAGAAAAUGUGAUACAUCUACACAAUGAAAUACUACUCCACUAUCAAAAGCAAUGACUUCAUGAAAUUCAUAGGCAAAUGGAUGGAACUGGAUAAUAUCAUCCUGAGUGAGGUAACCCAAUCACAGAAAAACACACAUGGUAUGCACUCAUUGAUAAGUGGCUAUUAGCCCAAAUGCUUGAAUUACCCUAGAUGCACAGAACAUGUGAAACUCAAGAAGGAUGACCAAAAUGGAAUGCUUCACUCCUUCUUUAAAAGGGGAACAAGAAUACCCUUGGGAGGGAAUAGGGAGGCAAAGUUUAUUACAGAGGCUGAAGGAACACCCAUUCAGAACCUGCCCCACAUGUAGCCCAUAAAUAUAUAGCCACCAAACUAGAUAAGAUGGAUGAAACAAAGAAGUGCAGGCUGACAGGAACCGGAUGUAGAUUCCUCCUGAGAGUCACAGCCAGAAUACAGCAAAUACAUAGGCGAAUGCCAGCAGCAAACCACUGAACUGAGACCGGGACCCCCGUUGAAGGAAUCAGAGAAAGGACUGGAAGAGCUUUAAGGGGCUCGAGACCCUAUAUGAACAACAAUGCCAAGCCACCAGAGAUUCCAGGGAUUAAGCCCCUUCCCAAAGACUAUAGAUGGUCUGACCCUGGACUCUGACCUCAUAGGUAGCAAUGAAUAGCCUAGUAAGAGCACCAGUGGAAGGGGAAGCCUUUGGUCCUGCUAAGACUGAACCCCCAGUGAGUGUGAUUGUUGGGGGAGGGCAGUAAUGGGGGAGGAUGGGGAGAGGAACACCCAUAUAGAAGGGAAGGGGGAGGGGCUGGGGGGAUUUGGCCGGGAUACCGGGAAAGGGAAUAACAAUCAAAAUGUAAAUAAGAAAUACUCAAGUUAAUAAAGAAAAAAUAAAAAAAUAAUAAAAAUAGAGUUAUUUGAUUUUUUUGGAGUCUCACUUCUUGAGUUCUUUGUAUAUAUUGGAUAUUAGCCCUCUGUUGGAGGUAGGGUUGGUAAAGAUCUUUUCCCAAUCUGUUGGUUGCCAUUUUGUUCUAAUGGUGGUGUCCUUUUCCUUACAGAAGCUUUGCAGUUUUAUGAGGUUCCAUUUGUUGAUUCUUGAUCUUAGAGCAAAAGCCAGUGAUGUUUUGUUCAGGAAAUUUUCCUCAGUGCCUAUGCAUUUGAGGCUUUUCACCACUUGAUUUUCUAUUAGUUCCAGUGUAUCUGGUUUUAUGUGGAGGUCCUUGAUCCACUUGGACUUGAGCUUUGUACAGGGUGAUAAGAAUGGAUCAAUUUGCAUUCUUCUACAUGCUGACCUCCAAUUGAACCAGCACUAUUUGUUGGAAAUGCUAUCUUUUUUACACUGGAUGAUUUUAGCUCCUUUGUCAAAGAUCAAGUGACCAUAGGUGUAUGGGGUAAUUUCUGGGUGUUCAAUUCUAUUCCACUGAUCUACCUGCCUGUCUCUGUACCAAUACCACACAGUUUUUAUCACUAUUGUUCUGUAAUACAACUUGAACUCAGCGAGGGUGAUACCCCCAGAAGUUCUUUUUGUUGUUAAGGAUAGUUUUCACUGUCUUGUUUUUUUGUUAUUCCAAAUGAAUUUGCAAAUUGCUCUUUCUAACUCUGUGAAGAAUUGAGUUGGAAUUUUGAUGGGGAUUGCAUCGAAUCUGUAGAUUGCUUUUGGCAAGAUGGUCCUUAUUACAAUAUUAAUCCUACCAAACCAUGUGCAUGGGAGAUCUUUCCAUCUUCUAAGAUCUUCGAUUUCUUUCUUCAGAGACUUGAAGUUCCUGUCAUACAGAUCUUUCACUUGAUUGGUUAGAGUCACACCAAGGUAUUUUAUAUUAUUUGUGAUUAUUGUGAAGGGUAUCAUUUCCCUAAUUUCUUUCUCAGCCUGCUUACCCUUUGAGUAGAGGAAGGUUACAGGUUUGUUUGAGUUAAUUUUAUAUCCAGCCGCUUUGCUAAAGUUUUUUUUUAUCAGGUUUAGGAGUUCUGUGGUGGAAUUUUUGGUGUAAUGUAAGUAUCUGCACAUAGUAAUAUUUUUGACUUCUUCUUUUCCAAUUCGUAUCCCUUUGAUCUCCUUUUGUUGUCUGAUUGCUCUGACUAGGACUUCAGUGUGGGAAACCUUUCUUUAGUAUUAUUCCUUUCAAAGAGAUGAAAACUCACACUGGAAAGAAACCCUAUGUAAGUAAGCGAUGUGGAAAGGGUUUCUUUUUCUAUACUUUAAAUCUCAUGCAUGAAAGGAUCCAUGGCAAACCCCUUCGGGCAUAAACAGUGUGGAAAAACCUUCAUUAUUUCUAUUUACGUUCAAGUACAUAAACACCCUCACACAGAGAAAAACCUUACAUAUGUAACCAGUGUGAGAAAGCUUUGUUAUCAUAACAAUUACAAAAACAUGAAGUAAUUCACAGUGGUGUGAAUCCUUAUUUUUGUAAGCAAUAUGAGGAAAGCUUCACUUGUCUCAGUUCCCCAAAAACACAUGGAAGAGGUCACCCUGGCGAGAAACCCUGUGUGUAAGCAGAGUAGGAAACCCUUUUAUUCUUAGUCCCUAAGAAAACAUGAAAGAUUUCAUACUGGAAAGAAACAUUAUGUAUGCAAAAUUGUGGGAGAGUUCUCACUUACUAGUUCAUUUCACUUCCGUGAAAGGAUGCACAAUUGAGAACAUCCUAAAAUAUACGUGCCAUGGGAAGGUUUUGCUUGUUCUGGUACCUUUAGAAAACAUGAAAGGAUCCACAUGGGAGAGAAGGUCUUUAUGUGUUUGCAGAUGUGAGAAAGCUUUCAUUUCUGACAGUGCCUUUUGGAUAUGUAAGGUAAAAUCUUACAAGCUAUAGUUCCCUUUGAUAUCUUGAUACCCUUUGAUACUAUGAAAUGAUACAGUUGACUACAUGAAACUGGGUGAGCAGAACCUAAAAAUGGCGUAGACUAAGGUCUCAUGCAAUAACCACUUCAGAGAAUCAGGAAAUUUAUACUUAGUGGUUUAAGAGUCACUGAGCCAGAAGGUGGUGAUGUACGCCUUUAAUACUAGGGAGGCAGAGGAGGGUGAAUCUCUGAGUUCCAGGCCAGCCUGGUCUACAGAUUGAGUUCCAGGACUGACAGGACUACAUAGAGAAAGUCUUUUUCAGAAAGGAAAAAACAAAAGCAUCACCUGAGUAAAGUGUACAAUCAUAAGGACAAGCUACCUGUGGCAAAAAUAUGAUUUUUGGUGGGGGAAGAUCCAAGCUGCUCAAGCAUGGUGCGUGGUGGACAGGUGGGAAAACUGGAAGACAGGAGCUGGUGUGUGGGCUGUGAAGAGAGGUGGAAUUGGAGUGAAGAGAGUGGAGACAGGUAUGAAACAACACAGAGGUCAGUAGUGGAACAUAUCAUUGCCUACUGGGGUAGGGAGGGUGGUGUGCAACAGCUUAGAGCUUGGGCAGAUACAGAUUCACUGCCUCAACAUGCCACCUGGCUUCAUUAUCACCCUGGCUCUAGGCAAUGAUGAACAUCCAAGAUGCGGAAUAGUACAUUUCCUGAACUGGACCUCUUCUAGGGACCACCAUAGUUUGUGAUACCACUGAGGUUCAUGUGUGGGUCAGUGGUCCUGAUGCAGCCAGGGACUGGGUUGAUGUCCAAGGCCUGUGUUACCAACUAACUACACUGAUGUGCAUGGUGAUGUACAUUGCAGCUUGAAGCCAGAUGGUGGUGGUGCGCAUCUUUAAUCCCACCAUUCAGGAGGCAGAGGCAGAGGCAGAAGGAUCUGAGUUCAAGGCCAUUCUGAGUGAGUUCCAAGACAGCCAGGGUUACACAGGGAAACUGUCUCAAACAAACAAACAAACAAACAAAACAAAGUAUAACAAAAUAACUUGGAAAUUGGGAAUAGAGGCUGGUGAGAUGACUCAACAGAUAAGGGUAACUGGGCCUUCACUGUCAAGGUACCAAGAACCAAGCAUAGGCCCACGAACUGACAUCAAAGCUGUUACUACCCAAGGCCAAACAGCAAGGCCAGGAAGUACCUUUCUAAAGAACAAAGGCUUUCACAUGCAUAAGCAAGGCUUAGUAGGGGGUAAACACUGAGGGGGGCCCAGGAGGGUCCUACAUAAGGGUACAUACUAUUCUUGUAGAAAGCCUAAAUUCAGUUCCCUGCACUCAGAUCUGGUGGUGCAAAACUACCUGUAACUACAGAUUCAGGGGAUUUAACACCCUCUUCUAACCUGUAUGGGAACACAAAUCCACAUAUAUCAAUGCACAUACACACAUAAUUGACUUAAUGGCCUUUUUUUACGAAAGAAAGUUAGAUGUACAUGAAGGUUUAUUGAAUGCUUCCAUGGUCUGUCUGAAGUGGUAGGUUUUCUCCUGAGGACUACAGACACCAAUGUGAGAGCAGGUAAACAACCCCGGGACUCAGAAUAUAGAUGUACAAGAAUCAGAAGGUCAGUGUCAUCUUCAGGAACAUAUGGAGUUUGAGGUCAAUUUAUAGUACAUGAAACCCUGCCUGGAAAAGAAAAAAAAGCAGAAAAAGUAUAAUAAGGAAAAAAAAAAGAAAUGAAGCAGUUUGAAAAAUUGAAGAAUUAUUCAAUUCUUCAAUUGAAUACAAAUAAUUGAAGAAUCCUCCUUCUAUAUGUUGUGUAGUAUUUUCCUCUAAAUUCAAAGCUUCCCCCCAAAGCAAAUUCAAAGAGCAAGUCUCAAGAUUAAAUAAAUAAAUAAAUUCACAAGUGUGGGAGUCCAUGCUUAUAAGAUUCAUAUGACCCUUUCCAAGGUUAUACAAAUGACAAAACUUGUUAUGGGACUGAAAUUAUCCCACCAACCUGCAAAUAUCCCUUUUUCUAGUGAGUUGAGUCCCAGCAUUGCUGUGUGUGUGUGUGUGUGUGUGUGUGUGUGUGUGUGUGUGUGUGUACCAUGCCUGGGGCCAGCACUUUUAAUAAUGCAGCUAGCUAUCUUUGAUUCACCCAACAUUUGUUGGAAUCAUUAUUUUGAGCUGUUGUUGGUCCUCUGUGUAGGCUGAGUAGGUAUUUAUUUGUUCAUCUCUUCCCAGGAAAACUCACCCAACACUGUGUAUUUUAUGUGAAGAGACAUCAUGAUCAAGAUAAGUUAUAAAAGAGAGCAUUUAAUUGGGGGGCUUACUUACAGUUUCAGAGGGUAAAUUCAUGACUAUAAUGGCAUGGAGCACAGGGGCAGGCAGAUAGGCAUGGCGCUGGAGCAGUGUUCAUAUAUUGAGACAACAGCCAAGAGGAGAGGGAGGGAGGGAGAGACAGAGACAGAGACUGGGCCCAAUGCAAGUUCUUGAAACCUCAAAGUCCACUCCCAGUGACACACUUCCAACAAGGUUAUACCUAUUCUUUCUCACAACAGUUUCACCAGCUAGGGAGCAAGCAUUCAAAUAAAUGAGCCUCUGGUGGCCAUUCUCACUGUGUUCUCUAGUAGUAGAAUCUAACCUAGAUGGAAGGAAGUGAGUCUGAGAAGAAGUCUUGCCAUUCUUCCCAAGCUGGCAUCUAAGAGCUGAGGCCUAGCAUCAAGAAGCAGUUAAACCUAGUGGAUGCAUUGGAUUUACAGGUUUGUCCUUCGUAUUUGGAACACCUGUCAUAAUCAAUCACUCUGUGAUGUAAAUGUGACCUGUUAAUUCCAUCUCCUCCCCCAGCCUUCCCUCCACUAGUCUGAAGACUGACAGGAAGUAAAUAUCCCAAUCUAGUGAUGCUGCGCCACUGUUUGGCUGAUGAAGCAAACAACCUUGAAUUUGACCUUAAAGUGAAGGCAUAACCUGAGGAGGUCACAGGACAACUUGCAAGAGUUUGUUCUCUUACCAGCACAUGACUUCUGGAUAUCCAAUAUAGGUUGUAAAGCUGGUCAAUAGGCAGGCUAAGUGAUCUCAUUGGACCAAAUUAAUUUUAACUCUUGAGUCCUUGGGAAAAAAACAACUUAAUGGUUCACAGAAAUAUUCAUAACAUGUGAAGUCACCUGAUAUCUGGCAAAGAAGAUGGAAAAUAAUCCUACUGCCAAGUAUGGUGGAUUCAUGUAACUGUUCAUUAUGUUUAGAUGCUGUAUAGCCAAGGCUCUCCUCAAUCUUGAUCCUCUUGCUACAGUCUUGUAAAUAUGGAGAUUACAUCCUUGACUCAGCUUGGCCAGCUGUGAUGGAUAGUGAUUAUUGAUGUCUAGGAAAUUAGUAAUAUUCCUGCAUAUAAUUAUGAAGGUGUUUCUGGGCAGAAUUAGCAGGAGGUCAUGUGGGUCAUACCAUCCAAUAGGCACCAAGAUGCACAAUAAGAGUAAUGAACACAGAGGCACAUGGAAGCACACUAACAAUCAUACUCUCUGUCUCAUGUCUGCCAUGAGGUUAGCCAAUGUGCCCCACAAUGUGGUCCCUGCUGAAAUGUUAUGCCUGGGCUCUGAGUGACUUCAGAUUUCAGACUGAAGUCUGACUGGGAAAAUAUGAGUUGAAACUUUGUCCUAUAAUUUUUGUCCACAUGUGCAUAAAAACACUGACAGAUAAGCCAGGCAUGGUUGUGCACACCUUUAAUCUCAGCAUCCAGAAGGCCAAGGGAGCAGGAUCUCUGAGAGUUCAAAGCCAGCCUGGUCUACAUACCAAGUUCCAGACUAAUCAGUAUUGCAUAGUGAUACCCUUUCUCAAAAACAAAGACAAAAACAAAACAAAACAGAAACAAAAACAAACAACGACAACAAAAAAACCCCAACCAUCAAUGACAAAAAAAUAACACACUCAUAGAAGACCUCCCCUGACAUAAAUCAACCAUCUAAAGAAUUGGAAGCCCUCAAAGUCAUCCAGGAUCCAAUUCUUAGUUUAGAAUUGGUGGCCAAACUAGGAUCCUUUCACCACAUUAAACAAGUAAACAAACAAACAAAACUACUUUUAAAUGUGUGUGUAUAUCCUUCCUUUCUCCAUCUGCACCCUGAAGUUAACCCUGUGGCACAGCUCCCUGUACCCAAAUCCCACCCAGAGAGCACUGAUCUCCCAGGAGUGCUGUCACUCCUAAGUUCACAGAUGAGGCAAACACUUUUGCUCCAAUAACUGGCCAAAGAGGGACCUGCCAGGAGACCACAGGGCUCAGGAAACACAGAGCAACUGGGGACAGGAUGCUUCCAGUCUUUAUGCCCUGAAGGAGUUAAUCCUGUGGCACAGCUUUCUGUACCCAAAUCCUGCCCUGAGAAAGCUGGUCUUUCAAAAAUGCUGACAUACCUAAGAUCAAAGGCCCACAGGUUCACAGGAGAGACAAGUUCCAGUCAGACACAGCAGGACCAAUAACACCAGAGAUAACCAGAUGGCAAGAGGCAAGCACAAGAAACUAAGCAACAGAAAAUAAGGCUACUUGGCAUCAUUGGAACCCAGUUCUUCCACUACAGCAAGUCCCGGAUACCCUAACACAUCAGAAAAGCAAGAUUCUAAUUUAAAAUCAUAUCUCAUAAUGAUGAUAAAGGUCUUUAAAAGGGAAGUGAAUAAGUCCCUUAAAGAAAUACAGGAGAAGACAGGUAAACAUGUAGAAGUACUUAAAGAGGAAACAUAAAAAUCCCUUAAAGAAUUACAGGGAAACAUAAAAAUAUAGGUGACAGAAUUGAACAAAACCAUCUAGGAUCUAAAAAUGGAAAUAGAAACAAUAAAGAAAGCACAAAGGGAGACAACACUGGAAAUCGAAAACCUAGGAAAGAGAUCAGGAGUCAUAGACUCAAGCUUUAACAACAGAAUACAAGAGAUAAAAGAGAAAAUCUCAGGGGUAGAAGAUACCAUAGAAAACACUGACACAACAGUCAAAGAAAAUGCAAAACGCAAAAAGCUCCUAACCCAAAACAUACAGGGAAUCCAGGACCCAGUGGGAAGACCAAACCUAAGGAAAAUAGAUAUAGAAGAGAGCAAAGAUUCCCAACUUGAAGGACAAGUAAAUAUCUUAAACAAAAUUAUAGAAGAAGACUUCCCUAACCUAAUGAAGGAGAUGCCCAUGAACAUAUAAAGAAACCCACAGAACUCCAAAUAGAUUGGACCAGAAAAGAAAUUCCUCCCAUCACAUAAUUAUCAAAACAUCAAAUGCACAAAACAAAGAAUAUUAAUAGCAGUAAGGGGAAAAGGUCAAGUAACAUAUGAAGGCAUACCUAUUAGAAUUACACCAGACUUCUCACCAGAGACUAUGAAAGCCAGAAGAUCCUGGGCAGAUGUCAUACAGACCCUAAGAAAACACAAAUCUCAGCGUAGGCUACUAUAUCCACCAAAAUUCUCAAUUACUGUAGCUAGAGAAACCAAGAUAUUCCAUGACAAAACCAAAUUUACACAAUAUCUUUUCACAAAUCCAGCCAUACAAAGGAUAAUGGACUCAAACACAAGGAGGUAAACUACACCCUAGAAAAAGCAAGAAAGUAAUCUUUUCUUAAUAAACUCAAAAGAAGAUCCCCACACAAAUAUAAUUCCACUUCUAACAACAAAAAUAACAGGAAGUAAGAAUCACUUUUCUUUAAUAUUUCUUAACAUCAAUGGACUCAAAUCUGCAAGGAAAAGACAUAGACUAACAAACUGGAUACAUAAACAGGACACAGCAUUUUGCUGGAUAUAGGAAACAUUCCUCAGUGACAAAGACAAACGCUACCUCAGAGUAAAAGGUUGGAAAACAAUUUUCCAAGCAAAUAGUCCCAGGAAUAAGCUGGAGUAGCCAUUCUAAUAUCGAAUAAAAUCGACUUUCAGCCAAAAGUUAUUAAAAAAAAAAAAGGAACGACACUUCAUACUAGUCAAAGGAAAAAUCUACCAGGAUGAAAUCUCAAUUCUGACCAUCUAGGCUACAAAUGCAAGGACACCUACAUUCAUAAGAGAAGCUUUACUAAAGCUCAGAGCACACUUUGCACCUCACACAAUAAUAGUGGAAGAUUUCAACACCAUCUUCUCAUCAAUGGACAAAUGAUGGAAACAGAAACUAAACAUAAACACAGUCAAAAUCACAGAAGUUAUGAAACAAAUGGAUUUAACAGCUAUCUGUAGAACACUGCAUCCUAAAACAAAAGAAUAUACCUUCUUCUCAGCACCUCAUGGUACCUUAUCAAAAUUGAUUAUAUAAUCAGUCACAAAACAGGCCUCAACAGAAAUAAGAUUUAAAUAAUCCCAUGCAUCCUAUCAGACCACUAAGGUGAACUUCAAUAACAGCAAAAACUACAGAAUGCUCACAUACACAUGGAAGCUGAACAAUACUCUAUUCAAUGACAACUAGGUCAAGGAGGAAAUUAAAAAAGAAAUUAAAGACAUUUUAGAAUUUAAUGAAAAUGAAGGCACAACAUACUCAAACUUAUGGAACACAAUGAAAGCAGUGCUAAGAGGAAAACUCAUAGCUCUGAGUGCCUCCAAAAAGAAACUGGAGAGAGCAAACACUAGCAACUUGACAGCACAUCUGAAAGCCCUAGACCAAAAAGAAGCAAAUACACCCAAUAACUAAAUCUGAAAUUAAAAUGGAGAAAUAACAAAAACCAAGGAAAUUAAUAAACUCAUCAGAUCCUACUAUAAAAGCCUGUACUCAACAAAACUGGAAAAUCUGGAUGAAAUGGACAUUUUUCUACACAGAUACCAGGUACCAAAGUCAGAUUAGGUUCAGAUAAACCAUCUAAACAGUUCCAUAACCCCUAAAGAAAUAGAAACAUUCAUUAAAAUUCUCCCAACCAUAAAAAAGCCCAGGACCAGAUGGGUUUAGUGCAGAAUUCUAUCAGACAUUCAAAGAGGACCUAAUACCAAUACUCUUCAAACUAUUCCAGAAAAUAAAAGCAGAAGGAAUACUACCCAGUUCAUUCUGUGAAGCCACACUUAUGCUCAUACCCAAACCAUGCAAAGACCCAACAAAGAAAGAGAACUUCAGACGAAUUUCUUUUAUAAAUAUUGAUGCACAAAUACUCAAUAAAUCCAGGCAAACCGAAUCCAAGAACACAUCAAAUUGAUCAUCCAUCAUGAUCAAGUAGGCUCCAUUCCAGAGAUGCAAGGAUGGUUCAAUAUACAGAAAUCCGUCAAUGUAAUCUACUAUAUAAAAAUCCACAUGAUCAUCUUAUUAGAUGCUGAGAAAGCAUUUGACAAAAUUCAACACUUCUUCAUGAUAUAAGUCUUGGAAAGAUCAGAAAUUCAAGGCUCAUCCCUAACCAUAGUAAAAGCAAUAUACAGCAAAUCAGUAGCCAACAUCAAACUAAAUGGAGAGAAACUUGAAGCAAUCCCAGUAAAAGUAGGGAGUGGACAUGGCUGCACAUGCUCUCCCUACCUAUUCAAUAUAGUACUCGAAGUCCUAACCAGAGCUGCUAGACAACAAAAGGAGGUCAAAGAGAUACAAAUUGGAAGGAGUCAAAAUAUCACUAUUUGCAGAUGAUAUGACAGUAUACAUGAAUGACCCCAUAAAUUCCACUAGAGAACUCCUACAACACAGAGAGGACUUAUUUCCAAAAUAUACAAAGAACUCAAGAAGUUAGACCGCAGGGAGACAAAUAACCCUAUUAAAAAUGGGGUUCAGAGCUAAACAAAUAAUUUACAGCUGAGGAAUGCCGAAUGGCUGAGAAGCACCUAAAGAAAUGUUCAACAUCUUUAGUAAUAAGGGAAAUACAAAUCAAAACAACCCUGAGAUUUCACCUCACACCAGUGAGAAUGGCUAAGAUCAAAAACUCAGGUGGCAGAAAAUGCUGGUGAGGAUGUGGAGAAAGAGGAACACUCCUCCAUUGUUGGUGGGGUUGCAGACUGGUACAACCAUUCUGGAAAUCAGUCUGGAGGUUCCUCAGAAAAUUGGACAUUGCACUACCUGAGGACCCAGAUAUACCUCUCUUGGGCAUAUACCCAAAAGAUGCCCCAACAUAUAACAAAGACACAUGCUCCACUAUGUUCAUAGCAGCAUUAUUUAUAAUAGCCAGAAGCUGGAAAGAAACCAGAUGCCCUUCAACAGAGGAAUGGAUACAGAAAAUGUGGUACAUCUACACAAUGGAAUAUUACUCAGCUAUCAAAAACAAUGACUUUAUGAAAUUCACAGGCAAAUGGAUGGAACUAGAAAAUAUCAUCCUGAGUGAGGUAACCCAAUCACAGAAAAACACACAUGGUAUGCACUCACUGAUAAGUGGCUAUUAGCCCAAAUGCUUGAAUUACCCUAGAUGUACAGAACACAUGAAACUCAAGAAGGAUGACCAAAAUGCGAACGCUUCACUCCUUCUUUAAUAGGGGAACAAGAAUACCCUUGGGAGGGAAUAGGGAGGCAAAGUUUAGAACAGAGGCAGAAGGAUCACCCAUUCAGAGCGGUCUAACUUCUUGAGUUCUUUGUAUAUUUUGGAAAUAAGUCCUCUAUCUGUUGUAGGAUUGGUAAAGAUCGUUUCCCAAUCUGUUGGUUGCCGUUUUGUCCUAACAAGUGUCCUUUGCCUUACAGAAGCUUUGCAGUUUUAUGAGAUCCCAUUUGUCAAUUCUGGAUCUUAGAGCAUAAGCCAUUGGUGUUUUGUUCAGGAAAUUUUCUCCAGUGCCCAUGUGUUCAAGAUGUGUUUUCUUUCAAUCCCGCUGACAUACACCCGACAUUCACACACUGGUGGUGCAGGCGCUGACAAGGAGUAUCUUAUCUGUUUCUCAUUGGCUGAUGGUCAAUUUCAUAAUCUAUUCCUGAUUGGCUAACUCUGAAAACAGCAGGAAGGAUAUGGGUAAGAGGCCAGCCUCUCAGAAUCAUCAGGUUCUGAGACAGGGUCCUUGUAUAAACAAAAUUGCUGGAACAUAGGGCAUGCUACACUAUGUGUUUCUUACUUUCCCCAGUUUUGCCAGUUUGCCGAUGGAUAUCCUGCCACAGGUGAGUUGCUGCUCAAUAGAGGUGGGUGGGUGGAGGUGUGAUUGUUUUGCACUGCAUAAACUGUUCAUCAGAGGUUAGGGUCUUAGGAGAGAAACACGUGGGAUGCCACCUUCUGUAUUUGUCAUAUUAAAUGCCUGUGUCUAAGACGAAGAGAGAUUCUAGGUUUUGCCCCUGCAUAUCUGGGUCACAUCCACCAGUUGCUGUCCUAGUCAUAGGACUAGGACACCUGGUGGCUGAAAAUAGUGGCUGCUGCUGGGAGUCCUAGGUGUGAGGAAGAGGCUGCUGCAAGCCAAGGAAGCAGUGGAGAUGUAACCUCCCCUGGUAGCAGUAGUCUAUCCCUGCCAGGUAGCACUGUCCUGUCCCUUGCUGAGCACUCAGUGCUGCAGGCUCUCCGAACAUCUGGGAGCCCACAGCCCGCAUCUCUGCUGUCUGGGUGGGUGGUAAUGGAGGGUGGGGGCUCAUGCUCAGGAGGUGUAGUGAUCUCAGGUCCUGAAUGUUUUCUAGAAGACUGGUAGAUGGAAGGACGAAUAAGUUCUCACGUAUGUCUCAGUGUGCUUGCCACGCUUCGGACUUGGGGUAUUCCUUUCUUUAUAAUCACAGGUAAAGGAUUGCACCUUGUGUGGUUGACAAGCUUGCCUGGCAGGAGUUUCUGAUAUGAUCUUAUAUAUUUUCAGAUAUUAUUUCUUGCUAUAAAUAGUUGUUGAUUUUGUAUCUCCUGGUGUGCUGCCAGAGGGUGGCUUGUGUUAGCAAGAUACAAGGUUUAUCUUUCUUGGCACAUGUUCUAAAAUGAAGUAAAUCAGGUUAAGAUUGUUGGUUAAUCAAAGGAGCCAUUAGUUCUUGGCUGGGCACAACAACAAAACUGGCAUUUCCUCCGCACAGAGUAAGUCAGAGCAGUCAGCCUAUCUUCCUCACCCUCUUCUUCCUUUGUCACCUCAUUGGCACCUGCUUUUCCUGUGAGCCUCACAGUCUGAAGAGAAACUUUCUAAAUACUAUCAGCUUGUGCCUUUAUACUGGUGAUGCUUAGGAGUAGCAACAAUGACCUGAAUUUCCAAUAUUGCACAAUUAAUUGCAAAUGGACAUCUACAUCCACGGGGGGACUAGUGUUGAUCUCUGUCAUCAUGGCUGUUGCCCUUGGCUGUUGCCGUUGGACUGUUUUUAGAUGUUUUACUUUUUCUUUUUUUCUUUUUUUAUUUCUUUUUCAUCUUUAUUAACUUGGGUAUUUAUUAUUUACAUUUCGAUUGUUAUUCCCUUUCCCGGUUUCCAGGCCAACAUCCCCCUAAUCCCUCCCCUUCCCCUUCUCUAUGGGUGUUCCCCUUCCCAUCCUCCCCCCCAUUACUGCUCUCCCCCCAACAAUCACGUUCACUGGGUGUCCAGUCUUGGCUACUUUUUCUUUAAAGACAGACUCUCACUAUGUAGCUCUGGUUGGCCCAGAACUCUGCCUACCUCAGAUUUACCAAGUGCUAGAAUUGACGGUUUGAUCACAAUGCCUAGAUUUAGGCAUUGCAUUAAAAUACAAAAUCCUGGUGGAGGUAGGCUAUGACCGUAUGUGAAAGGUAUUGCAGUAAGGAAAAGGCCAAGUAUUAGGUCCACAAAGUUCAAUCAUGCUAUGUUAUUGGAGAAACACUCCCCCCCCUCUCUCUCCUGUUCUUAGUCUCAUUAAGAAAAUAAUUUUUUAAAGGGCAUAAAACAAUUCCGUAUUAAAGUUAAAGAGAAAACUAACAGAUCAGGUGUCACCAUAAUGUCCCCAUAGGCUCCUAUUUGGCCCCCAUUUGGCAGGGUUAUUUGGGAGACAUUAUGAGAUUAUCCUAGUUGGAGAAAGUCUGUCACUGUAGGUGGGCUUUGAGAGUUUAAAGAUUCAUGCCAUAUCAAGUUUGUUCUCUCUCUGCUUCAUGCUUGUAGGUCAAGAUGUGAGCUCUCAACUUUCUGUUUCUGUUGUCACGUCUGCCGCUUGCUACCAGGGUUCCCCACCGUACACUUCUGGACCAUAAGUCCAAAGAAAUCUAGGUCAUGGUGCUUCACCACAGCCACAGAAAAGUAGCUAACACAACAGACAACCUGUAAGUCUUGGCAGCUGCCGGAAUGGGUAGAUGGAGUUGAAGAAGGAAAAACCAUGCCUUUCACAAUGGGGAUUGGUAAGUAUCAGCAUGGAAGAAAGUUGGGGUUAGAAGGGUGAUAAGCUUCAGAGAAUGAGUAAGAAGGCCCAGAAUAUCAGGGAAAGCACACACAGACUUUGGCCAGGGAAAGCACCCAGGCUUUGGUCGGUAUCCAAAGAAAAACAGACAAAAAGAAAAGCAAAAAGUCACACUUUUCUGAGUGAGCAUUCAGAAAAGCAGACAGGUUGCUUCUGGGAAGCCCAAAGGCUUCUGGGAAGGAAAAGCACCUAGUUUCACUAAGGGAAUAAUUAUGCCUCUCAUCUCCUUUUGAGUAGUUUUUAAUGAACCAGUGGGCCUGGUGAUUGAUCGGAGGAGCUGAACUAACUCCUGUGUGUGACUGAAUGUGAUUUCUCUGUUUCCUGUUCUUUCCGCCUUGCCCUCUCUGCCAAUACAGACUCUAGUCCUCUGGAACUGCAAGCCAAAAUAAAUGCUGUUCUUUCUUAACCUCCUUUUAGUCAGGCUAUUUUAUCAUAGCAUCAUGAAUGUGACUAUUGCAGUGUACUAGAGCUAUCUCUCUAGUGUUGGGUGGUAUUGUGGGCUGUUUUGACCUCUACCAGCAGAGAUGAGAAAGAAUCAAAUCUCCUGAUAAUUGGUGUUACUAAGGCGCUCCAUACAUUAAUCAUUAAUUAAAAAAAUCCUUCUAUAGACAUGCCUGUGGGUCAGUCUGAUGGAGGAAAUAUUCCUCAACUGAGGUUCCCUCCUCCCAGGUGAUUCUAGCUUGUGUCUGGUUGACAAAACCAACUAGCAUAAGAUUCAAGGCCUUUUUGAGAAACAUUUCAAUACUAAUUUUGUUUUAAAAGUUCGACUCUUUAUUUUGACCUGUAAGGCAACAAAAAAAAAGCAGAAUAACACUCUAGCAUCUCUGUCCAGUUCAUCCUCUGGGAAAACUGAAAGCCCAGAAACAGUCAUCCUUUUCAAUGUGUAGCUGUCUUGAAUUUUAGGAGCAUCAGAGACACACGGGAGUACUCUCACACGAGGGCCUGAGAGCUGGUAUUUAUAAACAAUAAGAACUUUUCUCUUUUCUUUUGUUUUGUUUUUGUUUUCAAGACAGGUUUCCUCUGUGUAAUGUCAGCUGUCCUGAAACUCACUUUAUAGACCAGGGUGGCCUCAAAAACAGAGAUCCACCCUAUCUUCCAAGCUUCCAAGCUUGGAAGGUAGCUUCCAAGCACCAAUAAUAAAGUACCGUCAACUGUUACCAAGUGCGCAAAUAUCUGAACCUAGGGGGGCACAUUCUCACUCACACCGCUGCUGCCUCCAAUACGUCUGUGUGAAGAAGGUUUGCGAAGGUCACGUGACUCACUCUUGUGGAGAAAGGAUUUCUACACGUGCCAGAAACGAUGGAGAAAACCUGAAUGUGAAGAAAAUAAUAUGGAGAAAUGUCCUUCUUGCCUGGGUACCUGAUAUAUCACAAAGGACAUAAAUCCUCUGAAUGUCAGCGAUAUGAAGGAGAAAGUGUAAACAACGGAG